UCCGAGUUGUAAUUUGCAGAGGGUGCUUUGGUGUUGGUGGCGGUCUAAGUUCCUUGGAACAGGACAUCGCAGAGGGUGAGAAUCCCGUUUGUGGUCGCCUACCUUCGCCGUGUAAAGCCCCUUCGACGAGUCGAGUUGUUUGGGAAUGCAGCUCUAAAUGGGAGGUAAAUUUCUUCUAAAGCUAAAUACUGGCCAGAGACCGAUAGCGCACAAGUAGAGUGAUCGAAAGAUGAAAAGCACUUUGGAAAGAGAGUCAAACAGCACGUGAAAUUGUUGAAAGGGAAGCGCUUGCAGCCAGACUUGCCCGUAGUUGCUCACCUAGGCUUUUGCCUGGGGCAUUCUUCUGCGGGCAGGCCAGCAUCAGUUUGGGCGGUCGGAUAAAGGUCUCUGUCACGUACCUUCCUUCGGGAAGGACUUAUAGGGGAGGCGAAAUGCGACCAGCCCGGACUGAGGUCCGCGCUUCGGCUAGGAUGCUGGCGUAAUGGCUGUAAGCGGCCCGUCUUGAAACACGGACCAAGGAGUCUAACAUCUAUGCGAGUGUUUGGGUGUCAAGCCCGAGCGCGUAAUGAAAGUGAACGGAGGUGGGAACCCUUUGGGUGCACCAUCGACCGAUCCUGAUGUCUUCGGAUGGAUUUGAGUAAGAGCAUAGCUGUUGGGACCCGAAAGAUGGUGAACUAUGCUUGAAUAGGGUGAAGCCAGAGGAAACUCUGGUGGAGGCUCGCAGCGGUUCUGACGUGCAAAUCGAUCGUCAAAUUUGGGCAUAGGGGCGAAAGACU
rnacentral:rRNA from 1 species